GUGUGUGUAUGGCUAGUCCACUUCCUAGAAACAUGAGCUGAUUACUGUGGGCUGGCUGAGUAGUUUUUGUCUAGAGCCCGCUGAGAUGGACAGCCAUCAGCACCAGAAAGUUAGGAAUUUCAUCUUAGGCCUAAAAUGAACAAUGUAAGCCUGUGGUAGGGCUUGUCAGACUUAAAAUACCAUUGUUGGUUUUCAGCAAUUGGACAACACCAUCUCUAAGCCAUCCAUCAUCCUUCAUGAAAGCUGCAGAAUGGUUUUCAAGCAGUCCAAAGGAAGAAAAGGUUCUACUUUUUAACAAGCGACUGUUGAAAAGCUAAAUGUAUAACCUGGACAUUGUGGGAUACAAAUGUUGAAUGCAGAAAGAAGCUGAACCAGAAUACGCUUCAUCAUAUGGACUCGUUCUCCUUAAUAAAACCAGAGAGCUGUAGGAGUUGAAUGAUGAUUUUACAGACCUGACUCCUUGUGCACCUCCCACCUCUUCACUGGCAGGGCAGCAAGAGAAAUGGACAAAUCCUUGAUUCAGUGAAGCAGCCCCAACUAACACCUGCAACGUUCAAAAUCUUGCACUAAGAAAGCUCUCCCUGGACAGAAAGCAUAGAAGAUCGCAGACAAGAUUUUCUGAUGCACUUAACUCUUGCAUGGAUAAUAGUUCUGCUCUGUAACUUGCAAUGAACUUGCAAAGGAUGCUGUGGGGAUGCAACCUGCUACUGCUGCUUCUCUGGAAGUGGACAGUCACCCUCAUUCUGAAUGAUUUUUGAUAAACACAGCGCUUUCCCACCGUUUGCUUUUGGGAAAUCUCCAGAGUUCCUUCUAUUUCAGUUAUUCAUUCUCCUUCCUACAAAGUGAAUGAUAACCUGGGGGGCCUGUGACAUUUGAGGCAUUUUCAGAAACAGUGAUAAACGCUUUCUUUGCUGACUUCUGGAGGGAGGUGUUGCCUACCCCGUGGCGUUUUUUUCACUAAUGGGUAGAGCAGCACUUUCUAUUCUGCACAGAUGGAGCAGAAUAAAAGCCUCUGAGAG